UACGAAGGGGGCUAGUGUUGCUCGGAAUUACUGGGCGUAAAGGGCUCGUAGGCGGCUUGUUGCGUCAGCUGUGAAAAACCCGCAGCUCAACUGUGGGCUUGCAGCUGAUACGGGCAGGCUUGAGUUCGGUAGGGGAGACUGGAAUUCCCGGUGUAGCGGUGAAAUGACGCAGAUAUCAGGAGGGAAACACCAAUGGCGAAGGCAGUUCACUGGGACGAUACUGACGCUGAGACGCGAAAGCGUGGGGGAGCAAACAGG
rnacentral:rRNA from 1 species